GUGCAAAAUCCAGUGAUGUGUCUUUUCCAAGCACGUAUCUCAUUGCUUUGUGUGGAAAAUGACUGUUGCUGAGUGAUUUUGGAU
rnacentral:snoRNA from 1 species